GGUAGAGAGAAGCUUGCUUCUCUUGAGAGCGGCGGACGGGUGAGUAAUGCCUAGGAAUCUGCCUGGUAGUGGGGGAUAACGUUCGGAAACGGACGCUAAUACCGCAUACGUCCUACGGGAGAAAGCAGGGGACCUUCGGGCCUUGCGCUAUCAGAUGAGCCUAGGUCGGAUUAGCUAGUUGGUGGGGUAAUGGCUCACCAAGGCGACGAUCCGUAACUGGUCUGAGAGGAUGAUCAGUCACACUGGAACUGAGACACGGUCCAGACUCCUACGGGAGGCAGCAGUGGGGAAUAUUGGACAAUGGGCGAAAGCCUGAUCCAGCCAUGCCGCGUGUGUGAAGAAGGUCUUCGGAUUGUAAAGCACUUUAAGUUGGGAGGAAGGGUUGUAGAUUAAUACUCUGCAAUUUUGACGUUACCGACAGAAUAAGCACCGGCUAACUCUGUGCCAGCAGCCGCGGUAAUACAGAGGGUGCAAGCGUUAAUCGGAAUUACUGGGCGUAAAGCGCGCGUAGGUGGUUUGUUAAGUUGGAUGUGAAAUCCCCGGGCUCAACCUGGGAACUGCAUUCAAAACUGACUGACUAGAGUAUGGUAGAGGGUGGUGGAAUUUCCUGUGUAGCGGUGAAAUGCGUAGAUAUAGGAAGGAACACCAGUGGCGAAGGCGACCACCUGGACUAAUACUGACACUGAGGUGCGAAAGCGUGGGGAGCAAACAGGAUUAGAUACCCUGGUAGUCCACGCCGUAAACGAUGUCAACUAGCCGUUGGAAGCCUUGAGC
rnacentral:rRNA from 1 species